rnacentral:rRNA from 1 species
UACGUAGGGUGCAAGCGUUGUCCGGAAUUAUUGGGCGUAAAGCGCGUGUAGGCGGUUUCUUAAGUCUGAUGUGAAAGCCCUGGGCUCAACCCAGGAAGUGCAUUGGAUACUGGGAGACUUGAAUACGGGGAGAGGGUAGUGGAAUUCCUAGUGUAGGAGUGAAAUCCGUAGAUAUUAGGAGGAACACCGGUGGCGAAGGCGGCUACCUGGACCGAUAUUGACGCUGAGACGCGAAAGCGUGGGGAGCAAACAGG